rnacentral:rRNA from 1 species
GGGCAUUCGUAUUGCGACGUUAGAGGUGAAAUUCUUGGAUCGUCGCAAGACGCACUAGAGCGAAAGCAUUUGCCAAGUAUGUCUUAAUUGAUCAAGAACGAAAGUUAGAGGUUCGAAGGCGAUCAGAUACCGCCCUAGUUCUAACCAUAAACGAUGCCAGCCAGUGAUCCGCCGGCGUUCCUCCGAUGACUCGGCGGGGAGCUUCCCCCGGGAAACCAAAGCUUUUGGGUUCCGGGGGAAGUAUGGUUGCAAAGCUGAAACUUAAAGGAAUUGACGGAAGGGCACCACCAGAAGUGGAGCCUGCGGCUUAAUUUG